AUUCCAGCUCCAAUAGCGUAUAUUAAAGUUGUUGCAGUUAAAAAGCUCGUAGUUGGAUUUCUGGUAGGAGCGACCGUGCCGAACUUGAUUGUUCGUGUAUUGUGUUGUCUUCAGCCAUCCUCGUGGAGAACUUUUCUAACAUUAACUUGUCGGGAUUGGGACCCGCGUCGUUUACUGUGAAAAAAUUAGAGUGUUUAAAGCAGGCAUUAGCUUGAAUACAUUAGCAUGGAAUAAUAAGAUAGGACUUUGGUACUAUUUUGUUGGUUUGCAUACCAAAUUAAUGAUCAACAGGAACAGUUUGAGGAUAUUCGUAUGAACAUGUCAGAGGUGAAAUUCUUGGAUUUUGAUCAGACGAACUACUGCGAAAGCAUUUAUCAAGGAUGUUUUCAUUG
rnacentral:rRNA from 1 species